AGAGUUUGAUCCUGGCUGAGAACGAACGCUGGCGGCAUGCUUAACACAUGCAAGUCGAACGAGAUCUUCGGAUCUAGUGGCGCACGGGUGAGUAACGCGUGGAAACCUACCAUUCUGUACGGAAUAACGGUUGGAAACGGCCGCUAAUACCGUAUACGCCCUGUGGGGGAAAGGUCCGCCGCAGAAUGAGGGGUCCGCGUCCGAUUAGCUUGUUGGUGAGGUAAUGGCUCACCAAGGCUGCGAUCGGUAGCUGGUCUGAGAGGAUGAUCAGCCACACUGGGACUGAGACACCGCCCACACUCCUACGGGAGGCAGCGGUGGGGA
rnacentral:rRNA from 1 species